rnacentral:misc_RNA from 1 species
UUUCCGUAGGUGAACCUGCGGAAGGAUCAUUAACAGCCCUAAAACGCAAAAGGGAUGUCGAGAGAAGAGUUUCUUUUCUCUUCCUAUCUUUUCUUUUUAACAAACCAUAAAAAAAGAAAAAAGUAGGGGAGACAUGCAUCGAUGCCUCUCGUCGGGUUUCCCUUUGGGAGAUCGUCGGUCGUGUUUUCUUUCUCUUUUUCUUUUUUUUUCAAACACCCUUUUGUAUGUCACUGUUGAAGUAUUAACCAUCAUUUAAAACACCCAUUCGGUUAUUCGUUCCGGUUUUUCUUACAAUAUAUUACGAUUUACUUUCUCCUUUGCUUCCUUUGUGAAACAAAAGAAAAGAAAAAAGUAGUUACAACUUUCAACAACGGAUCUCUUGGCUCUC